rnacentral:rRNA from 1 species
AUUGAACACUGGCGGCAGGCCUAACACAUGCAAGUCGAACGAGUGGCGGACGGGUGAGUAAUGUCUGGGAAACUGCCCGAUGGAGGGGGAUAACUACUGGAAACGGUAGCUAAUACCGCAUACCAUCGGAUGUGCCCAGAUGGGAUUAGCUUGUAGGUGAGGUAACGCCUCACCUAGGCGACGAUCCCUAGCUGGUCUGAGAGGAUGACCAGGCAAAGUGGAACUGAGACACGGUCCAGACGCUUAGGGGAGGCAGCAGUGGGGUAGAUUGCACAAUGGGCGCAAGACUGAUGCAGCCAGGGCGCGUGUAGGAAGAAGUCCUUCGGGUUGUAAAGUACUUUCAGCGGGGAGGCGUUACUAGUAGAAGAAGCACCGUCUAACUCCGUGCCAGCCGCCGCGGUAAUUC